rfam:Angiostrongylus costaricensis strain Costa Rica genome assembly, scaffold: ACOC_scaffold0001203
UCCUCGUUAGCUCACUUGGUAGAGGGUUAGACUUUUAAUCUAACGGUCAAGAGUUCGAGUCUCCUACGGGGCU